GCUCAUGUAGUUCUCUUCAUACUUGUUAAUGUAUUGGAUAUAUUCUUGAAUGUAUACGGACAGCCAACAGUUAUUCUUAUCGGUAAUUCCAGCGUUACACAGGGUGAUCAAGCAUAUUUGAAAUCUACCGUAAUACCUGAGAUUAAUAUCACAUCUGUGUUGUGGCAAAAAAUAUCAAAUGUUGACGUCAGAAAUAUUUCAGUUGAUCCGCCAAAAUACGAGCAGAGUCAGGUGACUUCAGGUGGAACUAUUGUACUCACGCUGAAAAUAAGCAACGUGAGUGCUGAUGACGAGGUUAAUUACAGGGUUGUUGUUGAGAGUGAUGGAAAAUCUUAUGUAAGCAAUCAACAUGCACUGGGCGUACACGAAGAUGCCUCAAACUGCGAACCUGGUAAAUAUGGAGAUAAUUGUGAAAAAGUAUGCUCUGGAAACUGCGCCAACAACGCGAUAUGUGACCCGACAUCCGGUAUCUGUCCGGGGGACUGCACAGAAGGCUGGGAGGGACAAUUGUGUG